rnacentral:rRNA from 1 species
UACGAAGGGUGCAAGCGUUACUCGGAAUUACUGGGCGUAAAGCGUGCGUAGGUGGUUUGUUAAGUCUGUUGUGAAAGCCCCGGGCUCAACCUGGGAAUGGCAAUGGAUACUGGCAGGCUAGAGUGCGGUAGAGGGUAGUGGAAUUCCCAGUGUAGUGGUGAAAUACGUAGAGAUUGGGAAGAACACCAGUGGCGAAGGCGGCUAUCUGGACGGUUUCUGACGCUAAGACGCGAAAGCGUGGGGAGCGAACAGG